rnacentral:rRNA from 1 species
CAGCCGCCACGGUAAUACGGAGGGUGCAAGCGUUAUCCGGAUUUAUUGGGUUUAAAGGGUCCGUAGGCGGAUCUGUAAGUCAGUGGUGAAAUCUCACAGCUUAACUGUGAAACUGCCAUUGAUACUGCAGGUCUUGAGUAAAUUUGAAGUGGCUGGAAUAAUUAGUGUAGCGGUGAAAUGCAUAGAUAUUACUUAGAACACCAAUUGCGAAGGCAGGUCACUAAGAUUUAACUGACGCUGAUGGACGAAAGCGUGGGGAGCGAACAGGAUUAGAGACCCCCGUAGUCCCUGUCUCUUAUAC